CUCACCUGUCCAUAUCUCACCUGUCCAUAUCUCACCUGUCUGAUCUCACCUGUCCAUGAUCUCACCUGUCUGAUCUCACCUGUCUGAUCUCACCUGUCUGAUCUCACCUGUCCACAGACUCUCCCCGCCCCCCGGUGCUCAAUGGCACCCUGUGGGUGCUGGCAGGUGAGCAGGUGUCGCUCACCUGCGGCGCCCGCAGCCACCCCGCCCCCAUCGUCACCCUGAGCCGCGGCCGCCGCGUUUUGGCCGCCGCCGUCUACGAGGCGCAGGUGACGCUGCAGGUGCCGCAGGCCUCACCUGGCGACGCCGGGGAGUAGCUGUGCAGGGCGGAGAACCAGCACGGCGAGAGCAGCCUGGCCUUCAGCCUCACCGUGGAGUGUGAGAACAGGGGAAAAAUGGGGUGAAAAACGGGGAUUUUGGGAAAAAACGGGGAAAAAAUGGGAUUUUGGGGUGAAAAAUGGGGAUUUUGGGAAGGAAAAUGGGGAAUAGCUGUGCAGGGCGGAGAACCAGCACGGCGAGAGCAGCCUGGACUUCAACCUCACCGUGGAGUGUGAGAACGGGGAAAAAUGGGGUGAAAAACGGGAUUUUGGGAAAAAACGGGGGAAAAAAUGGGAUUUUGGGGUGAAAAAUGGGGAUUUUGGGAAGGAAAAUGGGGAGUACCUGUGCAGGGCGGAGAACCAGCACGGCGAGAGCAGCCUGGCCUUCAACCUCACCGUGGAGUACCCUCCGGUGGUGCUCCCCGAGUCCCGCUGCUCCCCGCUGCCCCAGGGCUCCGCUCGCUGUGUCUGCACCCCCGAACCCCAGAGACCCCCAAAAUACCCCAAAAACACCCGAAAUCACCCCAAAAACACCCGAAAUCACCCCAAAACACCUGAAAUCACCCCAAAAUCCUGUCCUUUCACCCCCAGACCCGCCGGUGGUGCUCCCCGAGUCCCGCUGCUCCCCGCUGCCCCAGGGCUCCGCUCGCUGUGUCUGCACCCCUGAACCCCAGAGACCCCCAAAAUACCCCAAAAUCACCCCAAAAUCCCCCAAAAUCC
rnacentral:lncRNA from 1 species